AAGUACUUAAGUUAAUUUAAACUAAUAACCUUCAAAGUUAUAAAUAAAAACAUUUUUAGGACUUA
rnacentral:tRNA from 1 species